ensembl:lncRNA
CGUCCAAGGUCCUGCUCUUUUAAAUCUACAUUAGCCACGCCCCCACACUUUGGACCAAUCAGCAUCUCAGACACACUUCCUCCUCUCCGAGUUCCCGACCGAUCACAGCUCGCCUCUCAUGACCAGCCGAGCGGUCUGGUCUGGACGUUCUCCCCGACUUCAGUCCUCCAACCAGCGCAACAAGCUCACCCACUGACGCCGUCUCCGGACACAGAAAAUGCCCGGAAAGUGACCCCAGAAGCCCAUUGGACGGCGACGGACCUUCCUCGGCGACACACCGGAGUCUCCUGCGUCGCACCGCAGCGUCGCAGGAACAUCUGCGGCGCAGAGGUGGUCUUCAGGCCGGAGGGACGCGACCGCUUCUCCAGCUGUGGACCUGGAUUCUUCGGACUCGUGCGUCCAUCUGAAGCAGCCCCCCCCGCUGCCACAUCGGGAUCAUCGGGGUCCGGCAGCUGUGCGCCUCCUCUCCCGCUUGUGAAGUGUCUCCAAAGAGCCCUUUCUGAUGUGGGAUCAGCUCCCCUCCACACCCCGAAGGUCUCGACCGCAGGGCCGGACGGGGAGGUCAGAGCCCAGAACGCUUCUGAAGCCGCCGUUACCUUGGUCGGGCUGAUUUGACGCCGGUCUCCGAGCAACGCCGCCACAACAACGCGCUGCUCCGCCUCCAUAAUUCCAACGCGGGACUUUUACUUGCGUCCCAGCCAGGCGUCGGACGGGUCACCGCCUUCGCUCCUUGGCUACACCUGCUGGUUGUUUGCCAGGUCGAGCUUGCGUUGCUCCAGCGAUGCGGCGCUCUGAUCCUGCGGACGCCGCUGAGCCGUACGCAGCCCAGCACUUCCUCUGCGUGCGACACCUUGCAUGUGUGAUGACAACGGAAGCCCGGUUGUUGCAACAAAAAUAGGCCGUUUGAAAGGGGUUUCAGGUCCUCCCAGAACGCUGAAAUGUGAUUUGUUUCCAGAUUAAAGGGUUCUGCUGCGUUCAGCAGGAAUUCUUGGGCGUCUUUAGAGCUCAGCGUUGCAGCUGGGCGACCACAGCUGCUGGCAAACGCCAACGAGAUCAAGGGAGCGGCCGGAUUAAAGACUUGUUGUGAUCCACGGUGAGCUGGUGAUGAUCCAUGGUCAGAGCGGAGGAAAUACUUGCUUAAUUCUCUAUAUUACCUGUAUGACUAUCGGCAGGUUCUAAACCCGGCAUCCAGGAAGUGGGAUGAACCAAUCAGGUUGUUUGAUGUCUUACUGUGUGUGUGUGUGUGUGUGUGUGUGUGUGGGUGUGUGGGUGUGUGUGGGCUGGCCUGUGACCCGUUGUGGCCUCAAACAGCGUCGUCUUUGUCGACACACUGAAGCGUUUAUGUUGGACGACAUGGAGGAACAGCUGCUGCAUUAUUAGGUGGCUGUUCCUUAGCUGUUCUAUUAAGCUAAUUAAAAGGCAAAUGUCAUCAUUUCUGGACAGGAGCCGCCUUAAACUCCCCCUUUUAGAUGGUUGACAAGUACGUCUGUGUGUGUGUGACGUGGUAACUGGACGGCGUGCGCGCGCGUGUGUGUGAUCCUUUAUCUGGGGGGGUGGUUAAGCACAAACAACCUCAUUAAUUUGUUUAGAUUGGGUCGUUAACAGGACAGGUUGAUGUUUCCCUCUUUGCUGUGGGCUGUAACACCAACAUGGAGGCUGAGGAGUCCUCUUUCCUCCUGAACGGAUUCAUCAGAUCCGUCUCUCCUUUAAUUGCACACAGCGGCUCCUCGCAGGCCAUAAAUUGCGGCGUGUGCGUAAGCAAAUGAAAUCCCCCGAGGACACAAGGUUGACUCGAGCUCUAAUGAGGGGGGUGGAGGGCGACUUUGUUUGCCCUCUUCCGUUGUGUUUGCCCUGUAAUCCCUGCACAUAAUGUCAGAGUAGCGUGCUAGCUUGGAACAAGUACUUCUGGAUUAUCUUUCUCGUGAUUCUCCCUGUGUGCUGAGGUUUUCAUUAGGAUGUGAUUUAUGAUGGGGCCUGGGGGGGGGGUGACUGAAGAAUGCACCAAAUCACAGGCCUGAGGAAGGUUAAAGGUCGCUUCAUUAAGCUAUAUUCUGAGGAGCGGGUUUGUUUUUUUUUGGGUGGGUUAGCAUCGCUAACAAACUUGUGCUGGAGCUUUUAGUCAGGUAAUGGAAGCAUUUGCUGGAAAACAAGUGUUGCCGCUGCCUCGGAGACUUUGGGAAACCGUUGGGCUUGUUGGAAACCCGAACGGGGGCUUUGGGGAGCUGCCAGGACAGCCCAGGCUUUUCUAUCGCGCCUCCAGCCUCUUUUUCUUCCGGAAUGUGACUUGUGUAAAUUUCAGAUGAUGGAAACUGAAUGGCGUUCCGUGUUUACGUUGAAGAUACCGAGACAGGAUUCCUGAAAAGCCCCCCCCCCUCUUCCCCCCCGAUUGUUGCUCCGUCGUCCCUUAAAUGUUUUUACUUUGGAAAAUCCCACGUGUGACGAUGGGAUCUGGUCAGGGCGCUCCGGUGUGACCUCGGCCUCUUCCUGUGGGCGGUUCCGGUGCUUGGACGCUCCUCCGGAUCGGAUGGCCGAUUCCUCAAUCCCCCGUUGCUACGCUCCGCGUGUCAACGCGCCCUUGAACCGGUGCUUGAACAGGUUGUGGUUUGCUUCCCAACCGUCAGUCACCGGCCGGUUCUCCGGGCCGUCCUCGUUAUUAAGUGUUGCUGUGGUUUGGUUUCACCGUUGCCCCGCAGAGAGCAACUUCAGCCGCUGGCGCUUCCCCUAACAGAUCAAUGGGGAGGAUCUCCCACGAGCAGGAUACAGUGUCGGUAACAGGAGAGAGGAGCCGCAAUUAAUUUAACGCCGACACGUUUCAGCGCCGGUGGAAGGUGGAACACGAUGCCGCUCCGAACCUCAAACGCAGUUAAAGUGUGCAGAGCGCAUUCAAACAGCCUUUCUGUCCCACUUCCAGCGGGAACGUUCCGGCCUCUGCUUGUAACGCCGAAUCGCUAAAGGGGGGGCGCAAAGAUGUGAGAUGUGUGGGUGGGCGAGAGAGAAGAGGCAGAGCAGCACCGGGAGGCAGCGUUCCCAAACGUAGACCCAGAUCCUACCGCUGCUUGUUUUGUGUUCUGGCCAGUGUGAUUAAUCCUGAUGGAACUCAUCGGGGCCGUGACGUUCCCGGCCAAAUAUGCGCUCUGACGAGCGUUCCUAAACACAACAGUGUGUGCGUGGGGAACAGCUUUCUUCCUCCAGACUUUCCAAAGUCGCGAGUUUGCCGAGACGGAACAAAGCGCCUAAUUAAAACUUCACGACGGCGGCGGCGGCGGCGGCGCACAUUUCAGGGCUCGGAACGCGGCCUGUUACAUUCCCGUCACCGUUCCCGCUGCGGAAGAACACGCUAGCACCUCCCCACGCUUCCUCUCCCCUCAUCUUUCUGGGGUCAGAACCACGGUCCAGAUAAGGUUUAUCAGUUCUGCUGCAGCUUGUGUUGGUUGUAGCUAGCUCGCGCUCCUAAUAUUGACUUGGUUAAUAAGGUCGCUCUGGUCCUUCCCGCCCCAGAAGCGGCGUUUCUUUAACAACCCGGCCCACACACAGGAAGGCCUCCGGCUCGCUGCGGCGUGUUGAUUUACGUGUGGGAAGCGUCUGCGCGCGACAACACGUUACCCCGUCCACAGAACGAGCGUGUGUGCACGCCCACGUGGAAAGUUCCACGGUGCAGAUGUGUUGACUUACAGCUGAACGUCGGAGGUUUUGCUUAUUCGCCUCUCUGGGUUCGUUCGUUCUGCCGACUCAUCAGAGCAGCUCCGACGGCUUCGUGUUUCACGGCGAGAUCGCGGACGGACCGUCAACGGAAACGGAAUCUUCUCGAUUCAGGCGUCCGUUCGGGUUAUUUUAGAAUCCGUCCCGGUUUGUGCUCGGAACUAAC